UUUUUUUUUAGCGGCUACGGUUAAAUAAAGUAAUGACGUAGUCAGACAGAUGAAUGACGUUGCAGGAUAUGCGUACAUGGAGAACAAGACGGCUAGAGCUUAGAGAAGGUUGAUUAGUGACAGAGACAGAUAAGAAAACGACUAAUAGGGAGACAAGCCUCCCAUUUGUAAAUAAAUACACCAUUUGAAAUAUUAAUAAGUCUACUAAUCUUGUUAGUUGUAAUGUCUCUUGGGCAACAUUGGCUAGUUUAAACUGGUUGAUGAAAUAUUGUUGGAUUUACACACCGCAUAAGAUCUUAGCCAGGACACAUUUCAAUCUUUUUUUUUAAUCCAGCUGUUAUCAAGUCUGUCUGUCGGGAUGGAAUCUUAUAGACAAUAUUUCUUCCACUUCCCAUUCUAGGAUCAAGUUGAAACUACACAAUUAUUCAUUGUUUUCAAUGACAACACAGGAAUCAGAUAAAUCAACCAAAAAUGAACCAAUUAUUUAUCCCAUUCAUCGAAUAUUGUAAAUUUUUUUUU